rnacentral:rRNA from 1 species
GUGGGGAAUCUUCCGCAAUGGACGAAAGUCUGACGGAGCGACGCCGCGUGAGUGAAGAAGGCCUUCGGGUCGUAAAGCUCUGUCAUCAGGGACGAACGGCCGGUGGAGUGGAAAGCCACCGGAUUGACGGUACCUGAGAAGGAAGCCACGGCUAACUACGUGCCAGCAGCCGCGGUAAUACGUAGGUGGCAAGCGUUGUCCGGAAUUAUUGGGCGUAAAGCGCGCGCAGGUGGGAUCUUAAGUCCAUUUUUAAAGUUCGGAGCUCAACUCCGUGAUGGGAUGGAAACUGGGAUUCUUGAGUACCGGAGAGGAAAGCGGAAUUCCCCGUGUAGCGGUGAAAUGCGUAGAUAUGGGGAGGAACACCAGUGGCGAAGGCGGCUUUCUGGACGGUGUCUGACACUGAGGCGCGAAAGCCAUGGGGAGCGAACGGGAUUAGAUACCCGUGUAGUCC